GAUGAACGCUGGCGGCGUGCCUAAUACAUGCAAGUCGAGCGAACAGACGAGGAGCUUGCUCCUCUGACGUUAGCGGCGGACGGGUGAGUAACACGUGGAUAACCUACCUAUAAGACUGGGAUAACUUCGGGAAACCGGAGCUAAUACCGGAUAAUAUAUUGAACCGCAUGGUUCAAUAGUGAAAGACGGUUUUGCUGUCACUUAUAGAUGGAUCCGCGCCGCAUUAGCUAGUUGGUAAGGUAACAGCUUACCAAGGCAACGAUGCGUAGCCGACCUGAGAGGGUGAUCGGCCACACUGGAACUGAGACACGGUCCAGACGCCUACGGGAGGCAGCAGUAGGGAAUCUUCCGCAAUGGGCGAAAGCCUGACGGAGCAACGCCGCGUGAGUGAUGAAGGUCUUCGGAUCGUAAAACUUUGUUAUUAGGGAAGAACAAAUGUGUAAGUAACUAUGCACGUCUUGACGGUACCUAAUCAGAAAGCCACGGCUAACUACGUG
rnacentral:rRNA from 1 species